rnacentral:rRNA from 1 species
CUACGGGUUGCUCCAGCGGGGAAUAUUGGGCAAUGGGCGCAAGCCUGACCCAGCAACGCCGCGUGAGGGAAGAAGGUUUUCGGAUUGUAAACCUCUGUCCUUGGGGACGAAGAAGUGACGGUACCCAAGGAGGAAGCUCCGGCUAACUACGUGCCAGCAGCCGCGGUAAUACGUAGGGAGCAAGCGUUGUCCGGAAUUACUGGGCGUAAAGGGUGCGUAGGCGGCAGAUUAAGUCAGGUGUGAAAUACUCGGGCUCAACCCGGGGGCUGCAUUUGAAACUGAUAUGCUUGAGUGUGAGAGAGGAAAGUGGCAUUCCUAGUGUAGCGGUGGAAUGCGUAGAUAUUAGGAGGAACACCAGUGGCGAAGGCGACUUUCUGGCUCAUAACUGACGCUGAGGCACGAAAGCGUGGGAAGCAAACAGGAUUAGAUACCCUCGUAGUC